rnacentral:rRNA from 1 species
UGCUUAGCCGUAAACCUAGGUAGUUAAAUAACAAAACUACUCGCCAGAGAACUACUAGCCACUGCUUAAAACUCAAAGGACUUGGCGGUGCCCUAGACCCUCCUAGAGGAGCCUGUUCUAUAAUCGAUAAACCACGAUACACCUCACCCCUUCUAGCUUUACAGUCUAUAUACCGCCAUCGUCAGCUCACCCCAAUAGGGCUCAAAAGUGAGCAAAAUCAUUAAACCAUAAAAACGUUAGGUCAAGGUGUAGCAUAUGAAGGGGGAAGCAAUGGGCUACAUUUUCUACAAUAGAACAUAACGGAUUGUCUAUUGAAACAUAGACAUGAAGGAGGAUUUAGUAGUAAAUUAAGAAUAGAGAGCUUAAUUGAAAUAGGCAAUAGGGUGCGUACACACCGCCCGUCACCCUCCUCAAUAAAGUAACCUUCCAUACCUAAUAAGAAUACGCCAAAAAGAGGAGAAAAGUCGUAACAUGGUAAGUGUACUGGAAAGUGCACUUGGACAAUC